rnacentral:misc_RNA from 1 species
UAGGCAUUUUGUGUGGGCAAGAAAAUUUUUUUUUUCCUGGGUUUCGGUUUCUAUUUGGGUAUGAAUUGAGUAAUAAACUCUGAGAGAUCAUCCCAUUUUAUAGCCAGAAAUCUCCUUUGGCAAGCAUCAAGUUUACAGUGUACUCAAUAAAAGUAUAAAUUCUAUUCUUUGCUUAUUCUAAAAAUGAAUUUAAGCAUAUUCUAAGCGUUUGGAGUGUAAAAUGGUGCUAACAUUAAUUCUAUAUUCUCCCAACAUUAAUAUAUUUAUCAAUAACAGAUUACAUUCCAAACACUUAGAAUAUAGAAUGAGUGUGAAGAUGGGAGAAUAUAGAAUAGCUAUUGUAGAAAUAGUACUAUAUCAGCAAUCAAAUAUUAUUUCUUACAUUACUA